rnacentral:rRNA from 1 species
UACAGAGGGGGCAAGCGUUGUUCGGAAUUACUGGGCGUAAAGGGCGCGUAGGCGGCCUCUUAAGUCGAACGUGAAAUCCCCGGGCUCAACCCGGGAACUGCGUCCGAUACUGGGAGGCUUGAAUCCGGGAGAGGGAUGUGGAAUUCCAGGUGUAGCGGUGAAAUGCGUAGAUAUCUGGAGGAACACCGGUGGCGAAGGCGGCAUCCUGGACCGGCAUUGACGCUGAGGAGCGAAAGCCAGGGGAGCAAACGGG